rnacentral:rRNA from 1 species
GGCCUUGCUGGGCGGUCCGCUUAACGGCGUGUACUGUCUGGCGGGGUCUUACUUCUUGGUGAGCCGGCGUGCCCUUUAUUGGUGUGCGUCGGGGAACCAGGACUUUUACCUUGAGAAAAUUAGAGUGUUCAAAGCAGGCAUUUGCCUGAAUACAUUAGCAUGGAAUAAUAAAAUAGGACGUGUGGUUCUAUUUUGUUGGUUUCUAGAAUCGCCGUA